GUGGACUAAGAUUUGGCUUACCUUUUUUCUGACCACUUGCACUCGCCUGCUGCCUAAUUCUUAGCUGUAGUUCUGAUUCUCUGUGUUAUCAGUUUCUGUCUGUAAUCUUGUGUGAGCGGCUCAGUAAAGACUUUUAUUGUACUAAUCUAAUCACCAGUAUGUCUUCAUCUGCUUAUUUGUAGUCCUCUUUUGCUCUAAAACUUUUGCUCUAAAACAGUAUUAUUUUAAUUUCUCUCUUCUCGCACUUCAUCACGUAUGAGGAGCUUAAUAGAAGCAAAGAAAAAGAUGAAGAAAUGAAAAAACUUACCCCUCCUUUGUAUCCUGAGAGAUCCUGCUGGACCUCUGUGGCUCUACCUGAGGUUCACUAAUAGACAGGCAGUGGACAGGGUCCAGACCCCAACAUCCUAUCCGGACCUGCACUUGCACUGGAUAAAUUAUUAAGAAUUGUUAAAUUUUGAUGGAGCAUCUCAGGCACUGGUGUCUCAGGAAACUCACAGAAGAAUUGCGUGCAUUGCAAAUUAUCUCACAUGAUGCUGCUUUCUGUAACUCAAGUCAGUGGUUGAGACAGAGACACAGGGAGAGAUGAGACAAGAAACAACAGCCAGAAAAUAAGUUGGUCAGAGAAGGGUAAUUUUACAUGGUGCGAUCUAAAAAUAUUAAUGAUAGAAAAUACAGUAUGCUCAUGCACUCCAAUCUGGAGUGAGAGCACAGUUCACAAGCCCCCUCUUAUAAAUGAAAGGUAACUUUAUAGAGUGUGUGUAAUGUAAUGUAGGUUGUCUGAAGUAUCAAAAAGCCUCAGAUAGUGCAGGCACCUUCACAACAGACAAUAAAAGUCCAGAGAAUGGCUCAGUAUUUCUUUCAUUUUUUGCACUGUCCUUUGAUACAGAGGAAUAUCUCGUUAGGUAGUGAAGGCCAGUAUAAGCAUUGAUCUGGUAUUUUUGGUCCAAGGUCAUAGGCAGAGAAACUGUAUCCCACAUUGUCAUGUCUAGCAGGGGCAGAACCUUAACACUGAGUCUUUGUAUAUGUACAAGUUGGAUAAGGCUGUAUAUUUUGAAGUAUCCUAGUAUUGUGUUUGCAUGCAUGAAGAUAUAUAACCUUAAAUUCACC